GACAGAGGGGGCAAGCGUUGCUCGGAAUCACUGGGCGUAAAGCGCACGUAGGCGGCACCGCAAGUGUGGGGUGAAAUCCCACGGCUUACCCGUGGAACUGCCUGGCAGACUGCGGUGCUAGAGGUUGGUAGGGGAGAGCGGAACUCUUGGUGGAGCGGUGAAAUGCGUAGAUAUCAAGAGGAACACCGGUGGCGAAGGCGGCUCUCUGGUCCAAUCCUGACGCUGAGGUGCGAAAGCUAGGGGAGCAAACGGG
rnacentral:rRNA from 1 species